rnacentral:rRNA from 1 species
AACGCUGGCGGCGUGCCUCAGACAUGCAAGUCGAACGAGAAAGUUCCCUUCGGGAGAUGAGUAGAGUGGCGCACGGGUGAGUAACACGUAGGUAAUCUACCUUCGGGUGGGGAAUAACCACCGGAAACUUGGGCUAACACCGCAUAAUGCAGCGGCACCUCAUGGUGACAGUUGAUAAAGAGGGGGAUCUAAAGACCUCGCGUCUGAAGAGGAGCCUGCGGCGGAUUAGCUAGUUGGUAAGGUAAUGGCUUACCAAGGCCACGAUCCGUAACCGGCCUGAGAGGGCGGUCGGUCACACUGACACUGACAUACGGGUCAGACUCCUACGGGAGGCAGCAGUCGGGAAUUUUGGGCAAUGGGCGAAAGCCUGACCCAGCAACGCCGCGUGAAGGAUGAAAUCCCUCGGGAUGUAAACUUCGCAAGAACGGGAAGAAUAAGUAGGGGACAAUACCCUCUAUGAUGACGGUACCGUUUGUAAGCUCCGGCUAACUCCGUGCCAGCAGCCGCGGUAAUACGGGGGGAGCAAGCGUUGUUCAGAUUUACUGGGCGUAAAGGGCGCGUAGGCGGUCAGCACAAGUCAGUUGUGAAAUCUCCGAGCUUAACUCGGAAAGGUCAACUGAUACUGUGCGACUAGAGUGCGGAAGGGGCAACUGGAAUUCUCGGUGUAGCGGUGAAAUGCGUAGAUAUCAAGAGGAACACCUGCGGCGAAGGCGGGUUGCUGGGCUGACACUGACGCUGAUGCGCGAAAGCAAGGGGAGCGAACGGGAUUAGAUACCCCGGUAAUUCUUGCCUUUAACCAAUGAUUGCUGGUUGUCUGAGUUUAAUAAGUUCCCGGGUCCGGUGGUUACCGCUUUAACCUUUCGGCUUGGGAAGUAGGUUGGCAGGCUUGAACUUCAAAGAAUUGGCGGGGGACCGGCCCAACCGGUGGACCAGGUGUUCAAUUUGGAGGCACCGGGAAGACCUUUCCUUGGGUUGGAAUGCUUCUGCCACUCCUAGAGAUAGGCUCUCCAAGGUAAACCUGGGCAGAGUCCAGGUUGCUGAAUGGCGGUGUCCACCUGGUGUCGUGAGAUGUUGGGUUAAGUCCGGCACGGAGCGCAACCUUAAUCAUAAGUGCUCAGCAUUAAGUUGAGCACUCUAGAGAGACUGCCGUUGACAAAACGGAGGAAGGUGGGGAUGACGUCAAGUCCUCAUGGCCUUUAUGUCCAGGGCUACACACGUGCUACAAUGGCCGGUACAAACCGCCGCAAACUCGCAAGAGGGAGCCAAUCGGAAAAAGCCGGUCUCAGUUCGGAUUGGAGUCUGCAACUCGACUCCAUGAAGUUGGAAUCGCUAGUAAUCGCAGAUCAGCAUGCUGCGGUGAAUACGUUCCCGGGUCUUGUACACACCGCCCGUCACAUCACGAAAGUGGGUUGUACUAGAAGCGCCAGAGCUAACCCGCAAGGGAGGCAUGGUGUAACGGUAUGAUCCAUGAUUGGGGUG